rnacentral:rRNA from 1 species
UACGGAGGGCGCAAGCGUUACUCGGAAUCACUGGGCGUAAAGAGCGUGUAGGCGGGUAUAUAAGUCAGAAGUGAAAUCCUAUAGCUUAACUAUAGAACUGCUUUUGAAACUGUAUAGCUAGAAUAUGGGAGAGGUAGAUGGAAUUUCUGGUGUAGGGGUAAAAUCCGUAGAGAUCAGAAGGAAUACCGAUUGCGAAGGCGAUCUACUGGAACAUAAUUGACGCUGAGACGCGAAAGCGUGGGGAGCAAAC